rnacentral:rRNA from 1 species
GAUGAACGCUGGCGGCGUGCCUAAUACAUGCAAGUCGAGCGAAUGGAUUGAGAGCUUGCUCUCAAGAAGUUAGCGGCGGACGGGUGAGUAACACGUGGGUAACCUGCCCAUAAGACUGGGAUAACUCCGGGAAACCGGGGCUAAUACCGGAUAANAUUUUGAACUGCAUGGUUCGAAAUUGAAAGGCGGCUUCGGCUGUCACUUAUGGAUGGACCCGCGUCGCAUUAGCUAGUUGGUGAGGUAACGGCUCACCAAGGCAACGAUGCGUAGCCGACCUGAGAGGGUGAUCGGCCACACUGGGACUGAGACACGGCCCAGACUCCUACGGGAGGCAGCAGUAGGGAAUCUUCCGCAAUGGACGAAAGUCUGACGGAGCAACGCCGCGUGAGUGAUGAAGGCUUUCGGGUCGUAAAACUCUGUUGUUAGGGAAGAACAAGUGCUAGUUGAAUAAGCUGGCACCUUGACGGUACCUAACCAGAAAGCCACGGCUAACUACGUGCCAGCAGCCGCGGUAAUACGUAGGUGGCAAGCGUUAUCCGGAAUUAUUGGGCGUAAAGCGCGCGCAGGUGGUUUCUUAAGUCUGAUGUGAAAGCCCACGGCUCAACCGUGGAGGGUCAUUGGAAACUGGGAGACUUGAGUGCAGAAGAGGA